rnacentral:rRNA from 1 species
GAUGAACGCUGGCGGCGUGCUUAACACAUGCAAGUCGAACGAAGUGUUUAUUCAAAGUUCUUCGGGAUGGAGAAUAAAUUACUUAGUGGCGGACGGGCGAGUAACGCGUGGGUAACCUGCCUCACACAGGGGGUUAACAGUUGGAAACGACUGCUAAUACCGCAUAAGACCACGGCACUGCAUGGUGCAGGGGUAAAAGAGUUGUCGGUGUGAGAUGGACGUGUGUCUGAUUAGAUAGUUGGUGGGGUAGAAUCCUAACAAGGCAACGAUCAGUAGCCGACGUGAGAAGGUGACCAGCCACAUUUGGAAUGAGACUCACCCCGAUCUCCUCGGGGCGGGAGUAGUGGGUAGUAUUGUACAAUGGGGGAGUAACUGACCUAGCGACGCCGCGUGAGUGAAGAAGUAUUUCGGUAUGUAUAGCUCUAUCAGCAGGGAAGAUAAUGACGGUACCUAACUAAGAAGCCCCGGCUAACUACGUG